rnacentral:tRNA from 1 species
GGAAGUGNNCCCGAAAGAUAAGGACCUCCUUGAUAGGGAGGACAAUAGNGGUUCAAACCCCCUCGCUUCCU